rnacentral:misc_RNA from 1 species
AAAGUAUAUAGAAGUAGUCAUAAUAUAACAAACAAGAUUUUUCAUUCCUUAAUUAACAGAUGACUGAAUAAUAUUGCUUAAAAAUAAACAGUUUAAAUCUCAGUGGCAAUAAUUAUGAUUAUGAUUUACAACACUAUAGGUUAAAAAUUGUAGUACACAUUUUUCUGAAGAUGAAGAGCCUUGACCCCAAAUUUCAGAAUACCUGCUCCAUGAUUAUCAGACAAGCUGGAGAGGAGUUUGGUCACCAUUGUCGCGACGAGAGUAAUGAGGAUUUGGUUCCAGGAGAUUUACAGGCAGGAAGUUAUUGCGAGCAUCUUCGUAAUUUGGCUGAUGAUGGUAUUGAUGAUCAGAUCCUCCUCCUCCUCCGCCUCCGCCUCCUCCUCCACUAUCAACCUCUCGAGCACUCGGAGGCAAAGUUGGCUCAAGAAUCACCAAUUCUAUUGAACGAUCACGACCACAAAGAAGUUUUUCAUCUGUCAAGCCCCAAUCAAGUAGUCCCACACCAAGAUCAGGUUAUGUUGUGAGUGAGAAGAUAAAUCAUUUGGAAGAACAAAAUGGAGGAGCUAUGCUUGAUACUGAGACUAUUGAUGAAUCAAAGCCCAGGUUGAAGCCUUUACAUUGGGACAAAGUACGAGCUACUUCUGAAAGAGCCACGGUGUGGGAUCAAUUGAAAUCGAGCUCUUUCCAAUUAAAUGAAGACAUGAUGGAGUCACUCUUUGGAUGUAAUUCUGUAAAUUCAGUAACAAAUGAAGUCAUUAAGAAACCAGUCCGUCCUACGGUUGAGAAGGAGAACAGAGUUCUUGACCCGAAAAAAUCACAGAACAUUGCCAUAAUGUUGAG